rnacentral:ncRNA from 1 species
UGAAAUUUCACUGAAGCAAAUGGUGGAUGCCUAGGUCGUUUGGGCCGAAGAAGGACGUAGAAGGCGACGAUACGCGUUGGGGAGCUGUCAACAAGCGACGAUCCAACGAAUUCCGAAUGUGGCAACACCGGGCUGUGAAAGCAGCCUGAACCACCGCUUCACAUUUUAUAUAUAAUUUAAAAUUUUUAAUUUUUAAUUUUUAAUCAAUUUAAAAUAUUAAAUGUCUUAAUUUUUAAACAUUAAAACAUUUUUUAAUUAAAAAUUGAUUUUAAAUUUUAAAUUUUAAAUUAAAAAUUUGUAUUUGGUGUGAAGCGGUGGUGGGUAAGCCGGGGAAGCGAAACAUCCUAGUACCCGGAGGAAAAGAAAUCGAAAGAGAUUUCGUUAGUAGCGGUGAGCGAAAACGGAAGAGACUAAACCUGCCUUAUCGGCAGGGGUUGAAGGGUUUUGCAUAAUGUUUUGAACGAAAAGGAGAAAGUUUUGGAAUGGACUAUCAAAGAGGGUGAAAAUCCCGUAUCUGAAAUUUUAGUAAAAACAGGCAGAAUACCUAAGUACCAGGGUCCACGUGAAAUGUCCUGGGAAUCAGGGGCGACCAAGCUCCAAGUCUAAAUACUCAAACGGACCGAUAGUGAACUAGUACCGUGAGGGAAAGGUGAAAAACACCCCAAGUAGGGGAAUGAAAUAGAUCUGAAACCAUUUGCUAACAAACAGACAGAGCUCGUGCUUUGCACUCGCAAUUUAAAAUUUUUAAUUUUUAAUUUUUAAUCAAUUUUCAAUGCAUAAAUGUUUAAAAAUUUUGACAUUUGUAAUUUGAAUUUGAUUUUAAAUUUUAAAUUUUAAAUUAAAAAUUUCGAGCGCAGAGCGCGAGUGAUGUCGUGCCUAUUGAAGAAUGAGCCCGGGAGUGAUUGUAGUCAUCAAGUUUAAGGUCCGAAGGGACCGGAGGCGUAGCGAAAGCGAGUGCGAAUAGCGCGAAUAGAUGGCUGCAUUUGACCCGAAGCCGCUCGAGCUAACCUUGAGCAGGUUGAGUGUCGAUGAAAGUCGACAGGAGGACCGAACGGAUCAGAGCUGCAAAUCUGUCCGAUGACUUGAGGUUAGGGGUAAUAUGCCAAUCGAGAGCGGGAAUAGCUGGCUCUCUCCGAAAUAUAUAUAGGUAUAGCGUCUGAUGGUGGAUUGUGGGGGUAGAGCUACUGGAUGAAUGUUUUUCUCGCAAGAGGAGGCAUUUAACCAAACUCCGAAUACCACAAUUUCUAGUCAGGCAGUCAGUCCGACCGGGAUAAGCUGGCCGGGCGAGAGGGGAAGAUCCCAGACUCUCAAUUAAGGCCUCUAAAUCUAUGCUAAGUGGGAAAGGUAGUGAAGUGCCGUAGACAGACAGGAGGUUGGCUCAGAAGCAGCCAUCCUUUAAAGAAAGCGUAAUAGCUCACUGUUCGACCUGGCCUAGCCGGGCUGGCAUUUCGCGCCGAAAAUGUAAGGAGGCUCAAGCAUAGUGCCGAAAUUGGAGGAUUUGAUGAACAACACCAAGAAUUAAAUUUUUAAUUUUUAAUUUUUAAUUUUUAAUCAAUUCAAAAUAUUAAAUGUCUUAAUUUUUAAACAUUAAAACAUUUUUUAAUUAAAAAUUGACUAAAAAUUUUAAAUUUUAAAUUUUAAAUUAGUUUUUUGUGUUGUUCAUCAGAUCAGUAGGAGAGCGUUCUAGUUACGGUGAAGGUAUACUGAAAAGUGUGCUGGAGUUGCUAGAAGUGAGAAUCCGGGCAUGAGUAACGAAAGAGAAGUGAGAAUCUUCUCCAUCGAAAUAUCCAAGGUUUCCGCAGCUACGUUGUUCGUCUGCGGGUUAGUCGAUCCUAAGGUGAGUCCUGAAUUAAUUAGGAGUAGCCGAUGGAUAAACGGUUAAUAUUCCGUUACUUUGAUAUAGUCGUUAACAGCUAGGGCAGGACGGUGUGUGGAAGGUGUGCCCGCCUCAUCGGCGGGUUAAGUAUUUAGCUAGAAGAGGUUGGCAAAUCCGCCUUUUCGUUUUAACGUGAGAUACGAAUAAGAGUUCUUUGAAAGAGGAGCAAUCACAUUAAACCCAUGUACCCAAGAAAAUUGUCGUAGUCAGACUAUAUUGAAUUCGUACCAAAACCGACACUGGUGGAUGAGUCGAGUAGACUAAGAUGAUUGAAAGACAGAUACUUAAGGAACUUGGCAAAUUAGCUGGGCGUAAGUUUUCAAGAUGCCCUGCCUGGUGUAACAACCAGGUUACAAAAAAAGAAUGCAUGUCGACUGUUUACCACAAACACAGGUCUGUGCAAACCCGUAAGGGGAAGUAUACAGGCUGAAUUCUGACCGGUGCUAGAAGGUUAAAAGGGCGGGUUGUUCGUCGCAAGAUGAAUGGCUUGUUUUAUAAGCCCUAGUAAACGUCAGCAGUAACUCUAACUGUGAAACUUAGAGCAGUUAUAAAAUUUAGCUAUUUGCUGGAAAGACUAGCAGAAUUUAUAGUACCAAGGAGGUAACAAUCUAUGAAUAUAGUUCAUCAGCAGGAAAGACAUUUUAGC